UACGUAGGGCGCAAGCGUUGUCCGGAUUUAUUGGGCGUAAAGAGCGUGUAGGCGGCCUGAAAGGUCAGCUGUGAAAACUCGAGGCUCAACCUCGAGACGUCGGUUGAAACCAUCUGGCUAGAGUCCGGAAGAGGAGAGUGGAAUUCCCGGUGUAGCGGUGAAAUGCGCAGAUAUCGGGAAGAACACCCGUGGCGAAGGCGGCUCUCUGGGACGGUACUGACGCUGAGACGCGAAAGCGUGGGGAGCAAACAGG
rnacentral:rRNA from 1 species